GACGGAGGAUGUAAGCGUUAUCCGGAAUUAUUGGGCGUAAAGCGUCCGCAGGUGGCUGUUCAAGUCUGCUGUCAAAGCGCAGAGCUUAACUCUGUACAGGCGGUGGAAACUGAAGAGCUAGAGUAUGGUAGGGGUAGAGGGAAUUCCCGGUGUAGCGGUGAAAUGCGUAGAUAUCGGGAAGAACACCAGUGGCGAAAGCGCUCUACUGGGCCGAUAACUGACACUGAGGGACGAAAGCUAGGGGAGCGAAAGGG
rnacentral:rRNA from 1 species